AGCCUGAGAGAGACACACGAAACCGUGUUAGAAAGAAGCUGUGAAAACCCAACAUAAACCAUGUAAAACGCCGACUUUUACCUGAAUCCGACGAAACCGCCUGACAAACCGCCACAGCAGACAGCAAGAACCUGUAGAACAGCCGCUCUGUACAUCUAGAGGAAUGAUCUUUAACACGAUGUCGAACAGCUGCUAAAUAAAGCUGAUUAAGUGUGUGACGCAUGCCAAACCUAAAAGGCUAAAGGUGCACGUCUGUCUGGUACGGCUGACAGUCUGUCAUGUUUCUGCCAGGGGAAUGUGUGCGCCUCUGGAUAACACCAGUGCAGGCCCAUUAGGCGUUUUCAGGGAAGUUUUAAUGACAUCUAUGGAGAUGAACUGAAAUGAACUUCCUGAUCGUGCAUUGAAGGGAUAAUAUGGAAGCAUGUCUCUGCCACAGGAUAC